CUAAAUGAUUUAUUUAACCAUUCGAUAAUGUUAAUAGGAUUUAUCUGAUCAUUUGUUUAUGAGUAAAUUUAUUUAUUUAUAAUAACGGAUUGCACUUUUAGGGGUUAUGGUAGGUAAAUUGCAAAAACAAUAUUAAAUAGUAAAGCGGGUCGCAUUUUAAGGAUAUCUUCCUUAGUCCAAACUUAAAAAGUGCACUAGGGAACGGCUCCAAGUUACCACUGAAUUGACACUGGAAUCACUUGAACCGCAUGUGAAGUCUUCCAAAUCAACUUCAUCCAGCAAAAGGUCGAGAUGUGGAGAUAUUCCACCUCGAAAAUGUUCUUGUUGGCAUACCACAUAAUUUAUGCCAGGCUUAAGGAGUGGUGCGGGAACGUUGAGGUUGCAUUGUGGUCUACACUCUUGAUAGAGAACUCACCAGCAAACAGAGCUGAUUAUUGCUAGGACUUAUUUUGAAGUCUCUUAAUUAAAUUCACCGAGAAAACAAUGUAUUCACAGAUAAAAAAAACACUAGAGUAUCAUCUCAAAUUCAUAAUCAUCGCAAAUUCACCUAGAGAACAAUGUAUUCACAGAAAAAAAAUUCAACACUAGAGUAUCAUCUCAAAUUCAUUAUCAUCGCAAAAUCACCGAAU